AACGCGAAGAACCUUACCUGGGUUUGACAUCCCGUGAAGGCCGCAGAGAUGCGGAGUGGUAGCGAUACCCACGGAGACAGGUGCUGCAUGGCUGUCGUCAGCUCGUGUCGUGAGAUGUUGGGUUAAGUCCCGCAACGAGCGCAACCCUUGCCCUCAUUUGGCAUCAUUAAGUUGGCAACUAUGGGGGGACUGCCGGUGUCAAGCCGGAGGAAGGCGGGGAUGACGUCAAGUCCUCAUGGCCCUUAUGUCCAGGGCUACACACGUACUACAAUGGCCAAGACAAAGCGGAGCGAGGCCGAGAGGUGGAGCAAAGCGCAAAAACAUGGUCUCAGUUCGGAUUGCGGUCUGCAACUCGACCGCAUGAAGUUGGAAUCUCUAGUAAUCGCAGAUCAGCAGGCUGCGGUGAAUACGUUCCCGGGCCUUGUACACACCGACAUA
rnacentral:rRNA from 1 species